GGAAGGAUCAUUAACACUUGGGGGAUUGCUGUUCCCUUCGGCAACAUGUCGGUUCCGGGUGCGAUUUGGAUUUUUUUACGAGUGAUUGUGCGCUAAAGUCUUUUUUUGUAUAUACGAACAACUCUUAGCAAUGGAUAUCUUGGUUCCCACAACGAUGAAGAACGCAGCGAAAUGCGAUACGUAAUGCGAAUUGCAGAAUUCAGUGAAUCAUCAAAUCUUUGAACGCAAGUUGCGCUCUCGAGAUACCCUUGAGAGCAUGCCUCUUCGAGUGUCGGUUUCCAAUCGUUGGCUCCGAGCUAGUGAGUGCGGUUUCCGUGUGGAUGCUGCUUUUGGUUCAACGGGUGCCUGGUCUUCUUGAACGUGUUCAAGAUCGGAAAUCAACCAACAAGACCUCAAAUGAGGUAAGACUACCCGCCGAAUUUAAGCAUAUAAUUAAGCGGAGGAAAAGAAACUAACUAGGAUUCCCUCAGUAACGGCGAGUGAAGCGGGAAGAGCUCAAACCGAAAAUCUCUGCCCCCCGGGCAGCGAAUUGUGGUCUGUCGAGGCGUGUCUCAGUGUCGGUCCCGGCCCAAGUCCACUGGAACGUGGCAUCGGAGAUGGUGAGAAUCCCGUCUUUGGCUGGGUGGCCGGCGCGUUCGAGCCGUCCUCGGAGAGUCGGGUUGCUUGGGAGUGCAGCCCUAAGCGGGUGGUAAAUUUCAUCUAAAGCUAAAUAUGUGUGGGAGACCGAUAGCGAACAAGUACCGUGAGGGAAAGAUGAAAAGAACUUUGAAAAGAGAGUUAAAAAGUACUUGAAAUUGCUGAGAACGAAGGGAUGGCGACUAGUACUGGCCGUGGCAAUUGGGCGGGCCGGUGGGCGGCGUUUUCGGUCGGUGGAUUGCGUCCUGCUUCCCCGACUGCGAACUGGCGCCCUUCGAUCCGCUUCGUUGCCGUGUGCCUAGGUCAAAAUGGGUUCGCUUCGGUUGAAGGGCUCGACGGCAAGGUAGCUCGGGGGUUCCCCGAGAACUUACAGGCCGGCGAUCUGGAAUCGUCGCGGUCCGAGGUGUCGAAACACGCGCUCUAAGCUGUAGGCGCGGCGGCUGCUGCCGUGCCGGCGUGGUCGGGGAACAGAGUUCCGCGGCGACUGUCGGCCGGCACCCGGCCGUCCGUCCAUAGGCGUGUUGGCGAUUUUGACGAAAUGGUCGUCAUUCACCCGUCUUGAAACACGGACCAAGGAGUCUUACAUAUAUGCGAGUAACCAAGUGGGAAACUUGCUUGCGGAAUGAAAGUGAAUGAGUGUGAUCUGGCUGGUUUCCGGGCCGGAGCAACACCGGGCGGCCAAGACAACGGUACGACCUGGAGCAUAUCUGUAGGGACCCGAAAGAUGGUGAACUAUGCUUGAGCAGGAUGAAGCCAGGGGAAACUCUGGUGGAGGUCCGAAGCGAUACUGACGUGCAAAUCGUUCGUCUGACUUGAGCAUAGGGGCGAAAGACUAAUCGAACUAUCUAGUAGCUGGUUCCCUC
rnacentral:misc_RNA from 1 species